UGGCGGACGGGUGAGUAAAGUAUCGGAACGUGCCCAGUCGUGGGGGAUAACGUAGCGAAAGUUACGCUAAUACCGCAUACGAUCUAUGGAUGAAAGCGGGGGAUCGCAAGACCUCGCGCGAUUGGAGCGGCCGAUAUCAGAUUAGGUAGUUGGUGGGGUAAAGGCUCACCAAGCCGACGAUCUGUAGCUGGUCUGAGAGGACGACCAGCCACACUGGGACUGAGACACGGCCCAGACUCCUACGGGAGGCAGCAGUGGGGAAUUUUGGACAAUGGGCGCAAGCCUGAUCCAGCCAUGCCGCGUGCAGGAUGAAGGCCUUCGGGUUGUAAACUGCUUUUGUACGGAACGAAAAGGUUUGGCCUAAUACGCUGAACUCAUGACGGUACCGUAAGAAUAAGCACCGGCUAACUACGUGCCAGCAGCCGCGGAAU
rnacentral:rRNA from 1 species